rnacentral:rRNA from 1 species
GUAAACGAUGAAUACUAACUGUUUGCGAUAUAGUGUAAGCGGUACAGCGAAAGCGUUAAGUAUUCCACCUGGGGAGUACGCCGGCAACGGUGAAACUCAAAGGAAUUGACGGGGGCCCGCACAAGCGGAGGAACAUGUGGUUUAAUUCGAUGAUACGCGAGGAACCUUACCCGGGCUUGAAUUGCAUUCGAAUGUCGUGGAAACAUGGCAGCCGGCAACGGCGAAUGUGAAGGUGCUGCAUGGUUGUCGUCAGCUCGUGCCGUGAGGUGUCGGCUUAAGUGCCAUAACGAGCGCAACCCUCGCCGAUAGUUACUAGCAGGUAAUGCUGAGGACUCUAUCGGGACUGCCAUCGUAAGAUGCGAGGAAGGUGGGGAUGACGUCAAAUCAGCACGGCCCUUACGUCCGGGGCGACACACGUGUUACAAUGGGGGGGACAGCAGGCAGCGACUGGGCGACCAGAAGCCAAUCCUUUAAACCCCCUCUCAGUUCGGAU